rnacentral:lncRNA from 1 species
UUGUUGAUCAUUUUUAUUUAUUAAACUGGAAUGUUAAACAAAUAUUUGUCUAACAUUUUGUCUAAGUAAACGUACAUGUAUACAUGAUUUGGAAAAGUAAUUUAACAAAUGUGGGGUACUUGUACCCUUUUCUGGUUUCAUUCUUUUCAAUGAAAUAAAAACGCAAUAUUUAUAUGAUUCAAUUAAUAUCCCAUCAUUUUGUCAGUGGCAUAUUGCUUUGGACACUUUUCAUAUCAAAGAAAUUUGACGUCAUUAAGCUGAUGUGAACAAUAACAUUAUCCAGAGGUGGAUCCAGGAUUUUUGAAAUUUCAGAUAAUUGAAUAUAUACAAUUCAUACUUAAAACCUUUUUUUUGGACGAUUUUGUCCUAAAAUUUACAUCUAUUGUGAAAAAAAAUGCGAUUCUACCAAAAAUAAAGGACUUUUGAUUGAUUACUGAUAGGACAACAAAAACCAUCCCAAAACAUAAAACUGCUACUAACUUGACUAAGUGUUUAUCAAUCUUUACCUAUGAGGGUAUUAAUGCUCUUCACCAAACAUAAAACAGAAUAUUACAAUACACCAUCAUUAUUUGACAUUUCCUUAAUAUACUUCUGACACUUUGAACAUUGCAAUAAAAAAAUUCUAUAGAAAUGCUUCGGUAUGUAUCAUACACAGAACUUUACUUACAAAGUUUUGUAUAAAUAACAAUGGAAUUCUAACAAGAACUAUCUUUAAAAAAUAUAUCCGACGUAUUUAAAUUUGAGUAUAUGUUUAAAACUAUCAUUUCGAUAACCUUCAGAAGCACAAAGAUACCAUUUAA